CCUCCCAGAUCACACAACAUGGCUGUCCCUUGCUCUGCUCGUGUGUGUGUAUGUGUGUGUGUGUGGUGUGGUGCGUGUGGUGCAUGUGUGUGGUGUCUGUGUGUGUGGUAUGUGCGUGGUCUGUGUCUGGUGUGUGUAUGGUGUAUAUGUCUGUGUGUGGUGUGUGUGGUGUGUGUGUAUGGUGUGUGUGUGUGUGGUGUGUGUGUGUGGUGUGUGUGGUGUGUGUGUGUGGUGUGCGUAUGGUGUAUGUGUCUGUGGUGUGUGUGUGGUGUGUGUGUCUGGUAUUUGUGUGUGGUGUGUGUGUGGUGUAUGUGUGGUGCGUAUGGUGUAUGAGUCUGUGUGUGUGGUUGUCUGUGUGGUGUGUGUGUGUUGUGUGUGUGUGUGGUGUGUGUAUCUGUGUGGUGUGUGUCUGGUGUAUAUGUCUGUGUGUGUGGUGUGUGUGUGUGGUGUGUGAGUGGUGUGUGUCUGUGUCGUGUGUCUGUGUGGUGUGUGUGUAUGUGUGGUGUGUGUCUGUGUGGUGUGUGUGGUAUGUGUGUGUCUGUGUGUGAUGUUUAUGUGUGUGGUGUGUGUGUGGUGUAUGGUGUGUCUGUGUGUGGGUGUGUCUGUGUGAGGUGUGUGUGUGUGGCGUGUGUCUGUCUGUGUGUGUGGUGUGUGUCUGGGCCCCCAAGCUCUGGCUCCUGUAAGGCCACCUUUCCUGCCCCCUCCUCCUCUGAUCACAUCGUCGGGUAUGAGCCACAAGUCCCACCUGCUCUGCUGGACGGGACUUCCCUGGCCGGGGUGGGGCCUCGCUCAUCUCUGAACCUCCUCUCCCAACCCACCCUCCAGG
rnacentral:lncRNA from 1 species